CAAAAAAACGAAGUUUCAGAACUAGCCAGAAAGUCAAGACCUCAUUUUUAGCAAAGUAGAAGCGGCACAUUUUUAAACACAGCCUGUUUGCAAUAACUUCGGAAUAACAACCAUCACUGGGAAGUUACGGAAUACCAUCAUUCCCUGGCCAGCAACUUGUGCUACACGCAGACCUCAUGACAGAAUGACGAUAAAAAUGCCAGGGCUAAUUUCUACCAGCGCGUCUCAUUAAUCCAGGCAGCAAACCGAGUAAGGAAUGUGUCAGGGACUACGAGAACGUUGCCCGUUGCUUGUGUUUCUACGUGAAAUGCAUUUCUAGCCACACCCAUAAGGAACAUGUCUUUCCCGACAAUACACAGUGGGCACCUAAAGCUUUCAGAGUGUGCAUCUGAGGACUUAGGCUGUGCAUCGUAAAGUUUCCCUCGGCAACUGCUAAAAUUAUUCACGAGGCACUGCAGCAUGGCAGCAGCUAUCAGCUUUGGAACGGUAAGAGAGGUGUUAGUUGGGGA